CCGGCUGAUGAGACCAAGGCGAAUGCGACUCGGCGCCGUCCCAUCCUUGGCUCCCUGGGGGUGGAGGUUUGGAAUGAGAUCUGACUUCUUAGUGGGGUGCCUGAGGCCUGGCUCCUCGCUGUAAGGUAGAUUCAUAGCAGUGCUGGCCUUGCCUGCGUUUCUGCUGCUGCCUCCGGCUCCUGGCAGCUGCCUGCGGGGGCCCCACAGACAGGGACCGAAGUGGGACUAGGCACGAGCUUUCUGAGCGCAUCCUUGGAUCUGACA